rnacentral:rRNA from 1 species
GAUGAACGCUGGCGGCGUGCCUAAUACAUGCAAGUCGAGCGAACGGACGAGAAGCUUGCGUCUCUGAUGUUAGCGGCGGACGGGUGAGUAACACGUGGAUAACCUACCUAUAAGACUGGGAGAACUUCGGGAAACCGGAGCUAAUACCGGAUAAUAUUUUGAACCGCAUGGUUCAAAAGUGAAAGACGGUCUUGCUGUCACUUAUAGAUGGAUCCGCGCUGCAUUAGCUAGUUGGUAAGGUAACGGCUUACCAAGGCAACGAUGCAUAGCCGACCUGAGAGGGUGAUCGGCCACACUGGAACUGAGACACGGUCCAGACUCCUACGGGAGGCAGCAGUAGGGAAUCUUCCGCAAUGGGCGAAAGCCUGACGGAGCAACGCCGCGUGAGUGAUGAAGGUCUUCGGAUCGUAAAACUCUGUUAUUAGGGAAGAACAUAUGUGUAAGUAACUGUGCACAUCUUGACGGUACCUAAUCAGAAAGCCACGGCUAACUACGUG